CGCCUUGCCAGCCCGCUCAGAACUCAACGGAAUUGACGGGGGCCCGCACAAGCGGUGGAGCAUGUGGUUUAAUUCGAUGAUACGCGAGGAACCUUACCUGGGCUCAAAUGUAUGUUGACGUAUUCUGAAAGGGAUACUUCUUCGGACAAUAUACAAGGUGCUGCAUGGUUGUCGUCAGCUCGUGCCGUGAGGUGUCGGGUUAAGUCCCAUAACGAGCGCAACCCCUAUCAUUAGUUGCCAUCAGGUCAAGCUGGGGACUCUAAUGAAACUGCCUACGCAAGUAGUGAGGAAGGUGGGGAUGACGUCAAAUCAGCACGGCCCUUACGGCCUGGGCUACACACGUGCUACAAUGGUCGGUACAAAGGGUUGCCAAGCCGCGAGGUGGAGCUAAUCCCAUAAAACCGAUCGUAGUCCGGAUCGCAGUCUGCAACUCGACUGCGUGAAGUCGGAAUCGCUAGUAAUCGUGAAUCAGAAUGUCACGGUGAAUACGUUCCCGGGCCUU
rnacentral:rRNA from 1 species